ACGAAAACAAUUCAAAUUCUCUUGCAAUAUCGAACACAUAUUGUUAGAACAUGCAAGACAAGCUCAAUGUAAUUGCCUAAUUCAAUUACAAUUCACCGAGGGAAGAACACAAUUCUUGCCAAUUACACUCAAGAGUUCAAAGCAUAGCUUGUUUUUCUCUUGAAAAUUCUGCUUUUUUCACCUCGAGCUGAAAAUUCAGAGUUGAAGAUUUGUCGAAUCCAAUGAGUAAUAUAAACAACGAAGAACUCAAAGAAGCUAAGAAUUCCAACAGAAACGACCGAUGAAGGGUUCACGGUUA